rnacentral:rRNA from 1 species
GAGGAAUAUUGGACAAUGGGUGAGAGCCUGAUCCAGCCAUCCCGCGUGAAGGACGACGGCCCUAUGGGUUGUAAACUUCUUUUGUAUAGGGAUAAACCUAGAUACGUGUAUCUAGCUGAAGGUACUAUACGAAUAAGCACCGGCUAACUCCGUGCCAGCAGCCGCGGUAAUACGGAGGGUGCAAGCGUUAUCCGGAUUUAUUGGGUUUAAAGGGUCCGUAGGCGGAUGUGUAAGUCAGUGGUGAAAUCUCACAGCUUAACUGUGAAACUGCCAUUGAUACUGCAUGUCUUGAGUGUUGUUGAAGUAGCUGGAAUAAGUAGUGUAGCGGUGAAAUGCAUAGAUAUUACUUAGAACACCAAUUGCGAAGGCAGGUUACUAAGCAACAACUGACGCUGAUGGACGAAAGCGUGGGGAGCGAACA